rnacentral:lncRNA from 1 species
GAGGAUCUCAGUUGACAACUUUUUCAAACAAUGAUAUUUAUGCUGGACCAAAUGAGUAUUAAGUCGGCGCGGUGGAGGUCGGCGUUUGGAGGUGCCAUGACGUCGCUGCUAUAUUGGGAUGAAAGUUUCUCGUGGGUGGAUGUAUGACGAUUGGGGGUGUCACUGCUGUGUAUGGAUGGGGGUUGUUCUUCGCUGGAGGUGCCGGGGCGGCCUUGCUGUGUGGGGAUGGGGGUUCCUCGUGAAUGGAUGUGCCGCGUUUGGGGGUGCUAUAUUGGGGCCGAAGGGCGCAUGGAAGUGCCGCGAGUGGCAUGUUGUUGCGGAUGGGGGCUGUUUCCGA